AUUGAACGCUGGCGGCAGGCCUAACACAUGCAAGUCGAGCGGAUGAUGGGAGCUUGCUCCUUGAUUCAGCGGCGGACGGGUGAGUAAUGCCUAGGAAUCUGCCUGGUAGUGGGGGACAACGUUUCGAAAGGAACGCUAAUACCGCAUACGUCCUACGAGAGAAAGCAGGGGACCUUCGGGCCUUGCGCUAUCAGAUGAGCCUAGGUCGGAUUAGCUAGUUGGUGAGGUAAUGGCUCAACAAGGCGACGAUCCGUAACUGGUCUGAGAGGAUGAUCAGUCACACUGGAACUGAGACAUGGUCCAGACUCCUACGGGAGGCAGCAGUGGGGAAUAUUGGACAAUGGGCGAAAGCCUGAUCCAGCCAUGCCGCGUGUGUGAAGAAGGUCUUCGGAUUGUAAAGCACUUUAAGUUGGGAGGAAGGGCAGUAAGUUAAUACCUUGCUGUUUUGACGUUACCGACAGAAUAAGCACCGGCUAACUCUGUGCCAGCAGCCGCCGUAACAC
rnacentral:rRNA from 1 species